GCACCAGUGGCCUAAUGGAUAAGGUGCUGGCCUCUGGAGUCAGAGAUUGUGGGUUCAAGUCCCACCUGGGGCU